UACCGAGGUGGCAAGCGUUGUUCGGAAUUACUGGGCGUAAAGGGCGCGUAGGCGGCCUUCUAAGUCAGACGUGAAAUCCCCCGGCUUAACCUGGGAACUGCGUCUGAUACUGGGAGGCUAGAGUAUGGGAGAGGGAUGUAGAAUUCCAGGUGUAGCGGUGAAAUGCGUAGAUAUCUGGAGGAAUACCGGUGGCGAAGGCGGCAUCCUGGACCAUUACUGACGCUGAGGCGCGAAAGCUAGGGGAGCAAACGGG
rnacentral:rRNA from 1 species